AAAAAAUAGAAAAAAAAGAAAAGCAAAACCCAGCCCAAAUUGGAGAUACAUUUACCGGCGCCCUUCCAUCCCUUCCGAUCUCCAUUACUGUCAUCUUCGGUUCAUGCUCCUCGCCAUUAUUCAUCAUCAAUUCCAAAUUGAUGAGGUCUACCUUGCAAUUUACGAGCAUUGAAUAUCUAUCGGCUUGAAUUCCAUCUUCAAUUCCAGCUUCAAUUCAAUCCCACCAUCGCAAAAUCUACCUCCAAAAUCACCUUCAAUUCGAACCCACCAUCUUCUACCUAACUUUAAUUACAAAUUCAUUUGCCCGACAUUAGCAACUCCUUUAAUCAUGUCGGUUACGGGUUGUGUGCACAAACAGUCAUUGACAUUCCAUCUCUCAUCUCUUAAUCCAAUCCUAACUCUAUUUAACGGUAAUAGGUUUUCCAUGAGUAAUGAUACGACCAGAAGCUACAUAGAGAGGGAAGCAGAGGAAGGGAAGCUGAAUGCAGGGUCUUUGCGCAUCCAUCACGAAAAUGGAACUAUCAGCAAAGAAGACGCCAUUGGAGAAAUAAAAAAAAAGAAUUGAAGACAAAAGAAGAGAGCUGCUGACACAAUGGUAUUGCGAGGCGAUAAAGGAGGUGUAGUUCCAAAAGAUUGCAGGGAGGUGUUUUGGAAAAUGAGUAAGGUACUGCACUUUUUCUACAUGAAGGAAGACGGGUUUACUUCAGAUGAGAUGGCAGGUGCUGUAAAGGCAGUUCUACAUGACCCCAUUGAUAGAAUGUAAAUGAAUAUUGCGUAAAUUAGCUACAGGGUUGAUCCCUUUUAAACAACUUGAAUGCUGAUUUGAUUAAAUUCAACAUUAUUCAAGAUAUGGAACCA